CAGCCGUAAACAAUGUGCGUUAGGUGUGUCGGUAACCACGCGUUACUGAUGCGCCGAAGAGAAAUCGUGAAACGCACCACCUGGGAAGUACGGUCGCAAGGCUGAAACUUAAAGGAAUUGGCGGGGAGCACCACAACGGGUGGAGCCUGCGGUUUAAUUGGACUCAACGCCGGGAAGCUCACCGGAUAAGACAGCGGAAUGAUUGCCGGGCUGAAGACUCUGCAUGACUAGCUGAGAGGAGGUGCAUGGCGUAGACGUCU
rnacentral:rRNA from 1 species